GCGGUUGUAGCUCAGUUGGUAGAGCCGCGGAUUGUGAUUCCGGUUGUCGCGGGUUCAAGCCCCGUCAAUCGCCCCA
rnacentral:tRNA from 1 species